GUGCUAUCAUAGGUAGCGACAAAGACUUCACAUUUGACAGAUUCUCUUUUCUUGUCUAGUGUGAACAAAUGUGAAGUGAAUUGACUAAAAAAAAUAUACUAACUGGUGUGACCUAGUAGAUGAGCACUACCCUUGGUAGCGUCUAGUUGAAUUGUCUCAUUAGGCAGCCAGACUCUAUCAUAGGUAACAUCCAGCAGCUUUUCCAAUACAAUCCCAUCAUGCAUCCCGUAGCAUAGUAGAGUAACAAAUAGACUCUACAUACAGUAACAUCUCCCACCCUCU
rnacentral:misc_RNA from 1 species